rnacentral:rRNA from 1 species
UACGGAGGGUGCAAGCGUUAAUCGGAAUUACUGGGCGUAAAGCGCACGCAGGCGGUUUGUUAAGUCAGAUGUGAAAUCCCCGAGCUUAACUUGGGAACUGCAUUUGAAACUGGCAAGCUAGAGUCUUGUAGAGGGGGGUAGAAUUCCAGGUGUAGCGGUGAAAUGCGUAGAGAUCUGGAGGAAUACCGGUGGCGAAGGCGGCCCCCUGGACAAAGACUGACGCUCAGGUGCGAAAGCGUGGAGAGCAAACAGG